UACGUAGGGGGCAAGCGUUGUCCGGAAUCAUUGGGCGUAAAGAGCGUGUAGGCGGUCCGGUAAGUCGGUUGUGAAAGUCCAGGGCUCAACCCUGGGAUGCCGACCGAUACUGUCGGACUAGAGUUCGGAAGAGGCGAGUGGAAUUCCCGGUGUAGCGGUGAAAUGCGCAGAUAUCGGGAGGAACACCUAUGGCGAAGGCAGCUCGCUGGGACGUUACUGACGCUGAGGCGCGAAGGCUAGGGGAGCGAACGGG
rnacentral:rRNA from 1 species